ACUCUCUCCCCGACAGAAGCACAGUGACAGUAAGAUUACCCUCUAUGAGUGUGAAGACUUCAUGGGACGUAAAUUUGAGCAAGGAAGUUCCCUCAAUCAAAGUCAACUCUGGAGCCUGGGUAGGCUAUCAGUUUCCCGGUUACCGUGGAUAUCAGUACAUCUAUGAGAGAGACAGACACCAAGGAGAGUACAGAUGCUACAAUGAGUACGGCACCCAGGCACAUACCAAUCAGAUCCAGUCUAUGCGCAGAAUUCAGCAAUAAGACCCACCACCAUUGUGUACCCACCAUGUCAUGCCGUGUCAAUACUAUAGGCAAUAAAGACAUUAUUUAAACUAUA